rfam:Trichuris trichiura, WGS project CBXK01000000 data, contig: TTRE_1109
GCCUCGAUAGCUCAGUAGGGAGAGCGUUAGACUGAAGAUCUAAAUGCCGCUGGUUCAAUCCCAGCUCGGGGCA